CGAAUCUCGAAAGCCUGUCUCAGUUCGGAUUGGAGGCUGAAACCCGCCUCCAUGAAGUUGGAUCCGCUAGUAAUCGCGCAUCAGCCAUGGCGCGGUGAAUACGUUCCCGGGCCUUGUACACACCGCCCGUCAAGCCAUGGGAGCCGGGGGUGCCUGAAGUUCGUGACCGCAAGGAGCGACCUAGGGCAAAACUGGUGACUGGGGCUAAGUCGUAACAAGGUAGC
rnacentral:rRNA from 1 species